rnacentral:rRNA from 1 species
UAGGGAAUCUUCGGCAAUGGGGGGAACCCUGACCGAGCAACGCCGCGUGAGUGAAGAAGGUUUUCGGAUCGUAAAGCUCUGUUGUUAAGGAAGAACGAGUGUGAGAAUGGAAAGUUCAUACUGUGACGGUACUUAACCAGAAAGGGACGGCUAACUACGUGCCAGCAGCCGCGGUAAUACGUAGGUCCCGAGCGUUGUCCGGAUUUAUUGGGCGUAAAGCGAGCGCAGGCGGUUAGAUAAGUCUGAAGUUAAAGGCAGUGGCUCAACCAUUGUAGGCUUUGGAAACUGUUUAACUUGAGGGCAGAAGGGGGGAGUGGGAUUCCAUGUGUAGCGGGGAAAUGCGUUGAUAUAUGGAGGAACACCGGUGGCGGAAGCGGCUCUCUGGUCUGUAACUGGCGCUGAGGCUAGAAAGGGUGGGGAGCGAACAGG